UGCAUAUCCAAUAAGCGGAGGAAAAGAAACUAACAAGGAUUCCCCUAGUAACGGCGAGUGAAGCGGGAAAAGCUCAAAUUUGAAAUCUGGCACUUUCAGUGUCCGAGUUGUAAUCUCGAGAAACAUUUUCCGCGCCGGACUGCAUAGAAGUCUGUUGGAAUACAGCGUCAUAGUGGUGAGAACCCCGUACGUGAUGCAGAUGCCCGGUGCUUUGUGAUAUGUUUUCGAAGAGUCGAGUUGUUUGGGAAUGCAGCUCAAAAUGGGAGGUAAAUUCCUUCUAAAGCUAAAUAUUGGCGAGAGACCGAUAGCGAACAAGUACCGUGAGGGAAAGAUGAAAAGCACUUUGGAAAGAGAGUUAACAGUACGUGAAAUUGUUGGAAGGGAAACGCUUGAAGUCAAACUUGCUUGCCGGGCAACCGGUUUGCAGGCCAGCAUCAGUUUCUAGGAGCAAAAAAGCGUAGAUUGAAGGUGGCAGCUCCGGCUGUGUUAUAGCUUUCUACUGGAUUUGUUCUCGGGGACUGAGGAACGCAGCGUGCUUUUUGCAGGGCUCUCGGGC
rnacentral:rRNA from 1 species